UACGAAGGGUGCAAGCGUUAAUCGGAAUUACUGGGCGUAAAGCGUGCGUAGGCGGUUUGUUAAGUCUGUUGUGAAAUCCCCGGGCUCAACCUGGGAAUGGCAAUGGAUACUGGCAGGCUAGAGUGUGUCAGAGGAUGGUGGAAUUCCCGGUGUAGCGGUGAAAUGCGUAGAGAUCGGGAGGAACACCCGUGGCGAAGGCGGCCAUCUGGACCAGCACUGACGCUGAGGCACGAAAGCGUGGGGAGCAAACAGG
rnacentral:rRNA from 1 species